rnacentral:rRNA from 1 species
UAUAGGAGGUCCAGCCUGCCCAGUGACUACAAGUUCAACGGCCGCGGUAUUUUGACCGUGCAAAGGUAGCGCAAUCACUUGUCUUUUAAAUAGAGACCUGUAUGAAUGGCUAAACGAGGGCUUAACUGUCUCCCCUUUCAAGUCAGUGAAAUUGAUCUACCCGUGCAGAAGCGGGUGUAAUUAUACAAGACGAGAAGACCCUUUGGAGCUUAAGGUACAAAACUCAACCACGUUAAGCAACUUAAUAAAAAGCAAAAACUUUAUGGAAUAUGAUAUUUUACCUUCGGUUGGGGCGACCACGGAAGAAAAAAAAUCCUCCGAGUGGACCGGGACAAACCUCCUAAAACCAAGAGACACACCUCUAAGCCACAGAACAUCUGACCAAACAUGAUCCGGCCAUAAAAGCCGAUCAACGAACCAAGUUACCCUAGGGAUAACAGCGCAAUCCUCUCCCAGAGUCCAUAUCGACGAGGGGGUUUACGACCUCGAUGUUGGAUCAGGACAUCCUAAUGGUGCAGCCGCUAUUAAGGGUUCGUUUGUUCAACGAUUAAAGUCCUACGUGA